GAGUGUUUUUUGUUUACCCAUGAGCCCACGUAUGACGUUGCUGUGGCGGUUGACGCCUCGUGUGUGAAUCCACUUCGCAGGGAAUAUUUGUGUUGGCGACCUUUCACAGAAGUGGCAGUUAUUGGGCACAAGUCUUUACACUCAUGAAGCCAGUGUUAUGUCCAAUGGGCUGUGGAUAUGGGUUUGUGCCGUAACUGAGAUUACGCGAUGGCAACUACUGGGAAUCAUGGAUUGUGAUAGUGUGGCCAUUGAAGUUGAAACUUUGCUCCAAUAAAAGACUGUUGCAGC
rnacentral:lncRNA from 1 species